GGGCCGUUAGCUCAGCUGGUAGAGCGCUACCCUUACAAGGUAGAUGUCGGCAGUUCGAUUCUGUCACGGCCCACCA
rnacentral:tRNA from 1 species